UGGGGAAUAUUGCACAAUGGGCGCAAGCCUGAUGCAGCCAUGCCGCGUGUAUGAAGAAGGCCUUCGGGUUGUAAAGUACUUUCAGUCGGGAGGAAGGUGGUAAGGUUAAUAACCUUGUCGAUUGACGUUACCCGCAGAAGAAGCACCGGCUAACUCCGUGCCAGCAGCCGCGGUAAUACGGAGGGUGCAAGCGUUAAUCGGAAUUACUGGGCGUAAGGCGCACGCAGGCGGUCUGUCAAGUCGGAUGUGAAAUCCCCGGGCUCAACCUGGGAACUGCAUUCGAAACUGGCAGGCUAGAGUCUUGUAGAGGGGGGUAGAAUUCCAGGUGUAGCGGUGAAAUGCGUAGAGAUCUGGAGGAAUACCGGUGGCGAAGGCGGCCCCCUGGACAAAGACUGACGCUCAGGUGCGAAAGCGUGGGGAGCAAACAGG
rnacentral:rRNA from 1 species